rnacentral:rRNA from 1 species
CCUACGGGGCGCAGCAGUGGGGAAUAUUGGGCAAUGGGCGCAAGCCUGACCCAGCAACGCCGCGUGAAGGAAGAAGGCUUUCGGGUUGUAAACUUCUUUUGUCAGGGACGAAGCAAGUGACGGUACCUGACGAAUAAGCCACGGCUAACUACGUGCCAGCAGCCGCGGUAAUACGUAGGUGGCAAGCGUUAUCCGGAUUUAUUGGGUGUAAAGGGAGCGUAGACGGCACUGCAAGUCCGGAGUGAAAGCCCAAGGCUUAACCAUGGGACUGCUCUGGAAACUGUGGAGCUUGAGUGCGGGAGGGG